rnacentral:rRNA from 3 species
UUAAAUUGAAGAGUUUGAUCAUGGCUCAGAUUGAACGCUGGCGGCAGGCCUAACACAUGCAAGUCGAACGGUAACAGGAAACAGCUUGCUGUUUCGCUGACGAGUGGCGGACGGGUGAGUAAUG